rnacentral:rRNA from 1 species
AGUGAACGCUGGCGGCGUGCCUAAUACAUGCAAGUCGAACGGAGUGGCGCACGGGUGAGUAAUAUAUAGCUAAUCUGCCCCUUGCUGGAGGACAACAGUUAGAAAUGACUGCUAAUACUCCAUAGCAAUGGAUGAGACUAUAUCGUAUCAGCUAGUCGGUGGGGUAACGGCCUACCGAGACUAUGAUGCGUAACUGGUCUGCGAGGAUAAUCAGUCACAUUGGAACUGAGACACGAUCCAGACUCCUACGGGAAGGGGCAGUAGGGAGUAUUGCGCAAUGGGGGAAACCCUGACGCGGCAACGCCGCGUAGAGGAUGACACUUAUCGGAGCGUAAGCUCCUUUUGUUAGGGAAGCGGUACCUAACGAAUAAGCACCGGCUAACUCCGUGCCAGCCGCCGCGGUAAUAC